ensembl:ncRNA C18B12.9 ncRNA
GCCAAAACAUUUGUCCACUACGUCAUGUGGUUCGAAACACACAAGUUGGCAAUAGGGCGCGGUUGCGGUGCAAUCAGCUGACCCGACCUCCUGUCCCGUUCCAUAGCACCACACAGUUAGCGAGACGAUAUUCAACGUUCGGGUUCCCCUUACUAUUUCGUGUUCUGUUAUUCUGUUUGUUGUCUCAUUGCCCGCACACAGCCGCACCCC